GGAAGUGUCACUACAAAUGGAGUCACAAAUGCUCUAGACAUUAGAAAUGUUUGUGAGCAGCAGGACGCAGCAGAAUAUUAUCAGAAGAUUCUGAGUAUGGUUGAAUCUGAACCAGCAAAGAUAUUCCAGGGAAAGAAGAAACACUCAACCACCUGUCUACAUAGUGACCAU